rnacentral:rRNA from 1 species
UGGUGAAUUUUGCCCCCUUUUCUCCCACCUGAUCCAGCCAUUCCGCGUGCAGGACGAAGGCCUUCGGGUUGUAAACUGCUUUUGUACGGAACGAAAAGCCCUUCUCUAAUACAGAGGGGUCAUGACGGUACCGUAAGAAUAAGCACCGGCUAACUACGUGCCAGCAGCCGCGGUAAUACGUAGGGUGCAAGCGUUAAUCGGAAUUGCUGGGCGUAAAGCGUGCGCAGGCGGUUUUGUAAGACAGAGGUGAAAUCCCCGGGCUCAACCGGGGAACUGCCUUUGUGACUGCAAGGCAGGAGGGAGGAAGAGGGGGAUGGAAUUCAGCGUGUAGCAGUGAAAUGCGUAGAUAUGCGGAGGAACACCGAUGGCGAAGGCAGCCUCCUGGGCCAGUACUGAAACUGAGUAACGAAAGCGGGGGGAGCAAAGA